rnacentral:rRNA from 1 species
CGACCGGCGCACGGGUGAGUAACACGUAUCCAACCUGCCGAUGACUCGGGGAUAGCCUUUCGAAAGAAAGAUUAAUACCCGAUGGCAUAGUUCUUCCGCAUGGUGGAACUAUUAAAGAAUUUCGGUCAUCGAUGGGGAUGCGUUCCAUUAGGUUGUUGGCGGGGUAACGGCCCACCAAGGCGACGAUCGGUAGCCGAACUGAGAGGUUGAUCGGCCGCAUUGGGACUGAGACACGGCCCAGACUCCUACGGGAGGCAGCAUG